GUGGGUAGCAAAAGCAAACAAUACUUAUCCACUGAACGAAAAUGUAGUUAAGGGGCUACCUAAGCUGCAUCACUACUAGUUAUCCUGUCUAUUUUCGUCUUUCAAUGACAAAGGACAGUAAUUCGGUGGAUCAAUGAUUAUUCGGUGUCUUGGAUAGAUUUUUCUAGUUCCGCUUCAUCCCAGUAAGUUGAGUCAUCAGCUAAACAUCUUAGGAAAGAAUCUGGUGCGUCACAGCCUGCAUUCCUGACAUCCAAAUCGUAGUAAUCAAAUUCAAGGUCUUGUUCAGGAUCAAAAAUUGCUGAACAAGAUUGGUGAUUAGAGACAUUUCAAUGUCUUCUGGAGAAUGGCAUCGUUUACCAAAUCUCUCGAUCCUGUCUAUCUGCUGCUGCCGUCGGAAACCUAUUGGCGACAUAGUUGAAGAUCGACUGAGAAAGUUCAUCCUACGAGAUUUCUCUGUCGACAGAAAAGUGAUGUGGCAGUAGACACCAGCUGAUAUUCGCUCGCCCCGGACCACAGACUCGUGCUGUCCUGUGACCGUUGGUCUCCGAUGGUUUUUUUGCUCUUUUGGCGAUGCUUGAAGUGGAACCCGCAUUUGCUGUAGAUUACGACGAGGAAUGAAACAGCAAAAAAGAGCAUCAGCAGUAGAGUGGAAAGAGUCAAGAUAGGCGGUGGAAGCAUGUGACGUGCAAGCUUUGUGUGACUUUCUGCUCUAACGGCCUCUUCCAUCGGCACUGUAGAUAUCGUAGUGGAUUUUGUUUUAAAAAAAAUUAAAUGUCAAUUAAAUAGGUUAUAAUUUAGUACUUAUAGAGGACUGACCGGUAGUGAUGCUGAUGACGAAUGCGGCUACACAUUUAGAGAGUGACAUAAAAUGUUUUCUAGUGACGUUGAAUUCAAUCAACAGUUGCGGGGAACUCGUCGUCAGGAUGCCAACCAUCGGGAGACUUAAAGUUUCAUUAUUAAGUAACGCGAUUAACGGCGAAAAGACGGAAAUUCCAUCCCGUAUCGCCAAUUGAUCACCCGCGUGGCAAUCCAUUCGAAGUGAACAACCAGGUGAUGUAACCGCCGGGACAGAGUGUUGAUGAAACCACUAAAGAAGAAGUACCAUCUUCCAGUUCCCUGUUGCAUCCGCACAUGCAAUCCGAUGUCAAGUUUCCGUUAGUUAGAUCAUCUUUGUCUUCCAACUCUGCCGCUUUAUCAUUUUUUUCUUUCUGCGGGCAUGGUGGUGCCAUGCAACUCACCGAUUCAAUCGGCUGGCCCUGGGGAAGAUUUUAGAAAAUCUGAUUUUAAUAAGUUUACCGUGCAAAACGAACCGGGAUAUUGCGGAGACUGUCGAUCGCAGUAUCGAUAACGAAAGCGAACUCCUUUGUAUCCGCAACUGCGUGAUGUACAAACAGAAAAGGCGCUCCAGGUUCCCCACUCUGGCUCCUGGAAAACUGUUUUUUAUUGCAAAAAGAUGAAUGCUAGGGACAAAAAGGAAGAACUUCCUAGUUUGACGAUUCUGCUGUUGGUGAUCGUACUUCAACUAUCAAAAGGUAAUUAUCUAUCACUUUUUGUAUUCUGAACUCAUUGAGGAAAUAUCGAGAGUAUGCUAGCUCCUUAUGAAGUUGGUCUUUUAUGUCGUGACCAAACAUCUCAAUUUUGGCAUGGUACUUAUUUCUGGGAAAGAAACUGCGCAACGGUUUUGACCAACUUUCCAGUCAAUGUGAAAUGUUUGCCUGUUGGCAGGUUUGUUUUCCUUUAACCGUGCUUGUUUUUUUAUCGAUUUAACAGCUGUAAUUGCAUCGGGCUCUUGCCUUUCCUACUAAAGAGACCAGUAUUUUUUGUUUCUCUCAAGGCCGCUAAUCAGAGCAUCUAUAAAAAGAGCGAGCCAAUUUAAGAAUCACCAAGAACCAACCAAAACAGCAAUAUUGACUCGUUUCUUAUUGAUACAAGACCAUUGCCGGCUGAUGUUAAUCCAGAUAUGUGGGGAAGGAACUGCUACGAUUUCCAUCUACCCUGCACCAAACAAAAUAGGGAGACGGAACUGAAUUUUAGUGCAUUUUUUUUACGUAUACCCCCUUUUUCGUUUCAGGAGACCUUCUUUGCGUGACUAGUAGGCAGAGCCCCAGCCCGGUCAUUAAUCCAACCCAAAGGGGACGAAGGAGCACCCACAGAGAAUACGAGCUGAUCGCGUUCUAAGAGGGGCAAACACAACAACUCGUCGAGUACCUACUCGCCAUCCAAGUCCAUACAGUAACGUCUGUCGCUAGCCCAUGUCUAUAUUUAACCUUACCGAAUUUCUUUAAUCCCUAACUGCUUUUAGUAUUUUAUUUACGCUGCGCAGACUUGCACGUCACGGAAAAUCAAUUGGCUGUUCCGUGUUUGAUGUGGACGUCAUCCACCUUGUAGAAGCCGUAAAUCAAUCAUACGUACCUGACGUGUUUUGGUAAGGGAUGCAAGUCUGGGUGAUGUCGACGACGGCCCCGUCCGCCGUGGCCAAAGUAACCAAAUGGAAGCAAAGAGAAUCAAAUUCGGGCGAAUCGUCAAGUAAUUGGCAAGGCAAUGCCGCUACGGACCGGUUGGAGUCCAAGACCUUCUCGCCAAUAGACGGACGCGGUCUUGAGAUCCAGUCAGGCAAGCCGGGCGACGAUAGAAAACUGGCAGUUCGCGGCGGCACGGCAUGGCGAAUUUGGCCCGUACGUACAUCUGGAAAUCGCCAUUUAAAAGAACCUGCAUAGAUUCACUGGAACCGAUGAUAUCGUCUUCUUCUUCCUGGCCCUCUUGAUCUGCCCGAACGAAGAUACGGUAGUAGCCCAGAUGAUCGAGAUCUUGGCAGUCGAAUCGAAUGUCGACGCCUGUUCCACCCGUUUGCCAAAUGUUGGGCACUGUUCGAGACGCUCGAACGGAAGGCGCUGUGCAAUUAUUGCUGAAAGAGCUGUGACUACUGCGUCGCCCACAAUGGACUACUUGGGCGCUGAUAGUGAUGUUAGCGUCGGACGAAGGAUAGCACUUCAGAUGAAUCCACUGGAUUUUUACUUGAAACGGCGUGCGGUAAUUGACAAGUUCUGAAGGAGCCUGGACAAGUAUUGGCGGCCAAAAAACUCUUAACUCUUGUCGAUCGAUCCAUCGAUCGUCAUUGUGUUGCAAUUGAACGAUGUAAGACCCAGCGCGACUUAUGGCUCCACAGGGGAACGUUAUGUUUCCUUCGUCUCUUCCGGUGCCCUUGUUCCUUCGCCACUCGGCAACGGCCAAACCAUUGGCCUUUUUCAAGAUCCGCGCUCCUGUCAAGUGUUGUGAAGAUUCAACCGCCACGUUCAAAUCGCCUUGGAGAGCGAUGUAAUGGAGCGGUUCGUCUUGGUCUAAACUGUCGGCAACUAGUACAUAAAGAUUUCCGCCGCAAACAAAAGGAAAGAAGCCGUUUGUGAAUCGUGAACAAACUCUAUUGGCAGAAUCGAAUCUUUAUUGAAAUCGAUUGAUCAAACUCACCUGACAGCUUACAGAAGACGAUCACCGCCCACGUCACCCACAACCGUAGCAUUUCCUUUCGAACGCGAAACUGACGGCGACCCGAUUGCAGCACAUUCAGCACGGAUGGCACCAUACAUGUACCCUCUACUAUUCGUCAACUCCGAAUGAAAAACAGCUGACUUAAAUAGCAGUCGAUUUCACCCUCGUCGUCCGCUCGCGCACAAUACGCUCGAUAGAAUAGUAAAAGAGGGAGGAAUUGGACAAUGGAGCAUGGCCGAUGGUACACCUGGAACCGAGUUCUAGACUACUUUUACUACGACAAAAACUGGUCGGCAAUAGCUGGAUAUAGGUAUUGGGAAUGAGAGGGGCAUCGUCACGCGUUUUCUCCCCUCUCUUCCCCCCCCCCUCCGUCAAGUUACGUCUGCCCGGUCCACACCCCAGUCUGUGCCUCUCCCACAAACUUGAACUAAAGCGGGUUGACGUUUGUUUCUGUGCGCAGGUUAACUCCGGCGCACGGGAGAUUCGAUUUCCUAUUAAAUGCGAAGUGCAUUGCAUGUGAUUUAUAUCCGUUUGAUGACGCUGAUGUUUUGCUUUCUCUUUAUUUUUUUUAUUUUUUUGUUGCUGCAAAGUUUGCCCUUUUUUUUUUUUUUUUGUUUCCAUCAAGUAUGUUAAAGGUAGUUCACCACUUUUCCAAUUCACCGCCUUAUCCGCAGUGCAUUAUUUUGGCCUUUACUUGCAUACUAAUUGAUUAAAUCAAAUGUAUUAUUCAUAGUAGCCAAAGUAAUGGCGUCAUAUCCCUGACUUGCUUCUUCAUGGCACUCAUUAGGCUUUAUAUUUAGCGUUAUGUGAUAUUAAUAAAGGAAAGUCACACACUCCCAAUGGAGGAAGGGGAGCCAAAAUUAUUAUUAACCCCAUUCGCUUCCAUACCCCCUCUUUCUUUUGUCACCGAAUAACAAUAUAUUCUUUAUUUGUGACACAGGAACUGUUCGGAUCAUCAGCAGAAUAAAGCCCAUCGCAUAGACUGUAUGGCUAGAAAGAUACCGCGAGGCUUCGAGAAGCCAUAGAAGAUAUUAAACUGCAAGGUCGCAAGAUUAAACGAACCAAAUGAGACAAAGCUAUCAUAUACAGGCCAAUGUUGGUAAGUAUUUAUCCUAUGUUCAUAUAUGUUUAAUUACUUAAUGUUAGUUAUAUUGCAAUUUAUAAAAACAAAAUGACCAAGUUAAUACGAAAAAAUAACACAAGAGCUGCUCAUUUACAUCUGUGAUUGAAUGGACGCACGACAACUGAAAAUCACAUUGUGACAAUGGUAAAUUGCCAUUAAUCACUGAUCGCUGUUCUAUCUCAACAAGGCACACAUUUAUCGUUAUUCGGUUUUUUGGUAAAACUUAAAGAAUAUGAGAAGAUAGAUAAGAAUAAAAUAAAUCGAGAAAAUAAACUCUAUUUUCGCAAUUGUU
rnacentral:lncRNA from 1 species